rnacentral:rRNA from 1 species
CUUGCUGCUUCGCUGACGAGUGGCGGACGGGUGAGUAAUGUCUGGGAAACUGCCUGAUGGAGGGGGAUAACUACUGGAAACGGUAGCUAAUACCGCAUAACGUCGCAAGACCAAAGAGGGGGACCUUCGGGCCUCUUGCCAUCGGAUGUGCCCAGAUGGGAUUAGCUAGUUGGUGGGGUAACGGCUCACCUAGGCGACGAUCCCUAGCUGGUCUGAGAGGAUGACCAGCCACACUGGAACUGAGACACGGUCCAGACUCCUACGGGAGGCAGCAGUGGGGAAUAUUGCACAAUGGGCGCAAGCCUGAUGCAGCCAUGCCGCGUGUAUGAAGAAGGCCUUCGGGUUGUAAAGUACUUUCAGCGGGGAGGAAGGGAGUAAAGUUAAUACCUUUGCUCAUUGACGUUACCCGCAGAAGAAGCACCGGCUAACUCCGUGCCAGCUGCC